rnacentral:snRNA from 1 species
UGCGCCAAAUCAGAGCCUCAG